rnacentral:rRNA from 1 species
UACGAAGGGGCUAGCGUUGCUCGGAAUGACUGGGCGUAAAGGGCGCGUAGGCGGAUGGCACAGUCAGAUGUGAAAUUCCGGCUUACCUGGGGCUGCAUUUGAUACGUGUUGUCUUGAGUUCGGAAGAGGGUCGUGGAAUUCCCAGUGUAGAGGUGAAAUUCGUAGAUAUUGGGAAGAACACCGGUGGCGAAGGCGGCGACCUGGUCCGACACUGACGCUGAGCGCGAAGCGUGGGGAGCAA